AGAAAGAGGAUGAAAGUUAACAUUCUACAAUGGCAUGCCGUAGCUUCAUGGACCUGGGAUGCCCAGGACGAAACAUGCGGAAUAUGCAGAAUGGCAUUUGAUGGUUGUUGCCCAGAUUGCAAAUUACCUGGUGAUGACUGCCCAUUAAUUUGGGGGCAAUGCAACCAUGCUUUCCAUCUACACUGCAUCUUGAAGUGGGUGAAUUCACAAACCUCUCAAGCUCAUUGUCCUAUGUGCCGUCGAGAAUGGCAUUUCAAGGACUAAAACCCAUGUUCACCAAAUCUCUUGUCAACUAGCUGCGAAAUUGGCAUAUUAUGUCUAAAUCAUGUUUUAUCUUUCGAUGGAGCAAACUAUUGGAGAAUGAAGGAGUAUAAGUCAAGGUAAGGCCUCAAAUAUACUAAUGGCUCUUUUGAUAGGUGGGUAAUAAAGGCUAGUAACAGUAUUGAAUUCUAGUCUAAAUUUGUAAGAGUUUCUUAUGUUAUAUAUUCAUGGCAAGGAAACUUCAUCUCCAAGUCAUGUGAUUUUUAUUCAUAAAUUUCUAUUAUCGCUCAAUAAAACUUUUCCAAGUGAUUAUGAAUGGACGGACGGUGAUGAAUUUUGAGGAUGAAGUUUUUUUGAAAUAAAAUAGGAUUACCAUGGAUAUUAACAUAUAAAUUUCAUUUACUAACUUACUAUAAAAUGUAACACAAUGACCAUCAUUUAUAACCAUCAAUAAAACGAAUUGUAAAAUUUAUUGUUGAUUAUUGCAGUUUGUUUGAAGAUCCUUUGAAAUACUCACGUGAGCUAUCAUAUUGCAAAAGAAAAAGUAAAUAACCAUUUUAUAAAUUUGAGUAAAUACUUUUUUAUUCUUAACUAGUUGUUGGGUAUGUGUAAUGCGCCUGGUAAUUUAAUAAACUAUAUCAUUUCAAAAUACACUAUAUUAUUUCAACAUUAAAUAUAAAUGAACGAAAAAAUUGAAAGACAGUACAAACUUGAACAAGAGAAAAUGAAGAAGUCAUGAGGGAGAAAAUGAAGAACUUAUGAGAGAGAAAAUGAAGAUGUUAAUUUAUGAGAGAGAAAAUGCAGAAGUUAUAAGAAAACGAAAGGAGAGAGAAGUUAUCAAAGGAGAGAGAAAGAGAGAGAAGUUAUCAGAGAAGAGAGAAGAAAGAGCGGAAGACGGUACGCGAGAAAAAUUUAGAGUUGUAAUUAUUACAACUCACGUGAGAUGGAUCGGGUGCACACUAAGUUAGUGUGCACGAGGUUCAUAUUUAUUUUGGGCUUGUUAAGUACCGCCAUACUUUUACCAAGCAUUGCUCGUCCACUUCCCUUCCUUCAUACUCACUUAGGGAGCAUUUGGUAUGAUGAACGAAAACUAAAUGGAAAGGAUUUGGAUAAGGAUGGGAAAUGAAAAUAAUAAUUGUUAUCUUUAAUAGUUUGGUAUCCUAGUGGAGUGAAAACAAUUGAGAGGUUUAUGAUUAAGGAAAGGUAAUUUGUUUCUACUAGUUUGAUAAGGGUAACAACCUAGGGGGUUAUGUUUCUCUUCGGAAACGGUAUUUGUUACUUAACAUUUUUUUUUUGAUCAGUAAGGCUCAAUUUCUCAUUAAUCAAAAGAGUGUUACAGCUCAUCAGGCUAUUAGCCUACACAUGUCCAUCAGAAUUGGCCAAGUAUCCAACAAACUAUACACUUGUCUGCUUCCAUAUUACAAAUUCAGAAUUUCGAAAAUAUCCAUGACUUGCUAUAAGAUCUGCCACUGUGAUGGACCUUUGAGUUUUAUGAGAAAUUGAGAGGUUGAGUCCUCUAGAAGAGGCGGAUCUGAUGAAAUUCAACAUCAGCGAUAAGUUUGGUGGGCUUCCUGAGGUAGAAGAACACCAUUUAACUGCCAUAAGAGAUUUUGAUAGGAGUUCAGUGGGUUGAUGUUUAUACUGCUCACAGUUGAGGGAGAUUUGAGCUGCUCUGUGGAUCGCUAUUACUUCAGCUGAGUUUGAAUCCAUUGGAGGAAUUGGACCCAAGAAGAGGCAAAGAAUUUCUUUUUUCCUGUUGAGAAGAGCACCACCAAUAACUGAUCUAUUUUGAGAGGGGAUCCAUGAAACUUCGACCAACCAUUGAAGCUUGGGCCAAUUUGAGGGAUCCUUGAGGAGAGAUAAUCUGCGAGAAUGAUUUGGAGGGGGCCCCUUCCAUUGAAGACACUCUGGGUUUCUGAUUACUUCCUCAGGAGAAUAAGGAAAGGAGUCCUUCCAACCUUUGAUCCACCAACACAGACGAAGAAGGAUCAAGGUUUGGACCUCAUGGGUGGAGCUUGAAGAGUUACCAAAAACCCUAGCAUUUCUUUCCUUCCAGAGUGACCAGAGAAUCACCUGGAAUGAUGCAAGCCAUACUUUCCGAAAAAAUUUGAUUUUGCUGGGGUAGUUCCACUGUGCGAGAGCCAUUUCAACAGAGCGCGGCCAUACCCAUGAUAUUUUCCAGAGAGAACACCAUCAAUUUCAGAUUGAUUGGGCGAAGGGGCAGAGGAGAAACAGAUGAGAAACAUCUUCUGGAUUUUCGUGACAAAAGGAGCAGGAUACAUCCGACAUUGGAAUGAUAUUGUGAGUUGCUAGUUUCAUUUUUGUGUUGACUCUUUCUAAUAAUACUAGCCAUAAGAAAACCUCAAUACGGAAAGGAACUAAUCCUUUCCAAAGUUUAUGGGAAACAUCCCGGAGUAGGCACUCCGAGUUCUUUUGUAACUCCAUGUAGACAGAUUUAACUGAGUAGGUUCCAGAGUUAUUGGGGAGCCAUAACCAUUGGUCUUUUUUGUCUUUUGAGAGAGAGGUCCCUUGAAGAAGAAUGGAGAGAUCAUUCCAUUCAACUUGAUCUCUUGGCCUAAAAGCACGCUUCCAUGUUAUAUUCCACUUCCAAUUCGAAUUUACCCAGGUCCCCAUAGAAGCCACAGAGGCUAGGGGAAAAACAGCGAUGCGAAAGAGCCUGGGAAAUCUAUAUUUAGCUGCUACUUUAGUGAGCCAUGAAUCAUGCCAAAAAAGAGUGUCUUCUCCAUUCCCAAUUUUUCGCCUUGAGCCAAAUUCCAGUAGAUCACGAGCCCCCUGGUGUUUUAAAAUGCGAUUACAGAUUCCUCUCCAUGGGCCUCCUUUUGACAGGUGAUUUAGGUCACCCAUUCUAAAAGAUGGAGAGUAGUGAUACUUGGCCUGGAUAGUUUGACUCCAUAACGAGUUGGGCUCAAGGAAAAAUCUCCACACCCAUUUAAACAAAAGGCCGAGAUUUUGGAGGUAAAGAUUGCAUACAUUCAAUCCACCCAUCAUUUUAGGAAGCUGAAUACAUUCCCAUUUUAUAAGAGCCAGGGCCUUUUUGUCAAGCCCGCCAUUCCACAGAAACCGGCGUUGAAUGCCAAUUAUUUUCUGAAUAACCCCUUGAGGAAUAGGAUAGAGAGACAUGAAGUAUACUGGGAGGUUUGAGAGAGAUGCCCUCAGCAAGGUGAGUCUGCCUCCUAUAGAAAGUAGGUUACUCUUCCAUCCGGCAAGUUUAAGUUUCAUUUUUUCAAUCAAUAAAUCCCAUGCCGCCACCCUUGACAUGUUCCCUCCAAUAGGGAGACCAAGGUAAGUGAGAGGAAAUUUUCCAACCUUGCAACCAAGGAGAUGAGCAAGUUCCUGCAAUUUAUCUUCAUUUACAUUAGCUCCCAGCAACUCAGAUUUGUGGAAGUUGAUUUGUAGGCCCGAAGCCAGUUGAAAUAAGAUUAGAACUUUUCUUACGUUAUGGAGAGACUGCGGAUCCGGAGAAGAGAAUAAUACUGUGUCAUCGGCAAAUUGAAGGUGAGAGAGAACCGGGCCAUUUUUGCAAACCUCGAUCCCAGACCAAAAACCCAACGCUGUUGCUUUUUGAUUAAGAGAUUCAACACUUCCACCACUAAGAUAAAUAAGAAAGGAGAGAGGGGAUCUCCUUGACGGAGACCUCUUUGAAGCUUGAACGGUUUUGUGGGAGUACCAUUCAAAAGAAUGGAGGCAGUUGCUGAGGAUACACAAGAGGAGAUCCAUCAAAUCCAUUGAGAAGGAAAACCCAUCUGCUCCAAAAUCCAAUAUAGAAAGGACCAAGAAACACAAUCGAAGGCUUUAUGAAAGUCCAGUUUUAGAAGGACUGCCGGGAGUUUGGAACUCUUGCACGACUCCAGUAAUUCACCUGCAAUCAAAACACUAUCCAGAAUAUUUCUUCCUUCAAUGAAGGAAGAUUGGUGAGGCCCAAUUAAGUGAUUCAUCACUCGUUUGAGCCUAUGGGCCAAAAUCUUGGCAAUAAUUUUAUAAAUACAGCCAACCAUACUGAUUGGCCUGCAUUCUUUGAAACCUCUAGGAUUUUCAAUUUUUGCAAUUAACGCAAUAAAGGCUACAUUGCUCCCUUUGAAAAGGUUCCCUGUCGACCAGAAUUCCUGAAUGAUAGAAUAAACAUCUUCCUUAAUAAUCUCCCAGGAAGAUUUGAUGAACCUGAAAUUAAAGCCAUCGGGCCCCGGGGAUUUCGAUGGAUUACAUGAUGCAACUGCAUUAUCAAUUUCCAGGUUGGAGACUGGUUCAAUAAGGUUUGCUGCCUGUUGUUCGGAGAGUUUCAUAAAAUCCAGCCCCUGAAAAAUCGGUCUUUGAAAAGAUUCUUCUUUGAACAAGUUAGUGAAAUAAUCCAAUGCAGCCAAUCUGAUUUCAUCUGGAGUCUCCAAUUUGGAUCCAUCAACUUCUAGGGAGGUGAUGCUGUUUCUGUUCCUGCGAAUAGAGGCUAGAGUGUGAAAGAACUUUGUGUUCUUAUCACCAUGUUUUAGCCAUUGCACUCGGGAGUUCUGAGCCCAAAAGAUCUCUUUCUUUUUUAGCCAACUCCAGAGUUCCGUCUGCGCAGAAGAUCUUUGCCUUGCCUCUUCUUCAUUCAAGGAUCGAGAAUUGGUCAAGUCAUCCCAUUCUUGAAUUUCCGUUUCAAGAGAUGAAAUUUUUGUGUCAAUGUUGCCAAAGCAUUGCAAGUUCCACGUUUUGAGAUCAGCCUUAACACUUUUCAAUUUUCCCAUGAUAAACAUUCCUCCAGAUUUACUCCAGGUGUUUUUGAUGGUUUCUAGACAGCCCGGGUGUGAAAGCCACACGUCUUGAAAUCGAAAAGGUCUGGGGCCCCAAUCGAUGUUCAUGGUUCUGAUUAUAAGAGGACAAUGAUCCGAAAUUGUCCUUUUGAGAAUUGAAGUGUUAAUGAGAGGGAAUUUAUCAAUCCACUCUGCUUGAACAAAGAACCUGUCUAACUUGCUCAUAGAGGUUCCUCGAAACCAAGUAAACCAUCCUUCAGAUGGAGUGAUCUCUAUACGGUGUAAUUCUGUGAUAAAGUCAUUGAAACGUGCUGAAUUUGCAGGGUCAAUGAGUUAGCUGCCACGAUCUUUUUCAGAUAAUGUUUCAUUAAAGUCUCCGGCUAUCAGACAAGGAUAUUUAGAGGAAGAAAAAAAUUCUACAAUGUCUCUCCAGGUACCUGCUCUUACCAAGCCAUCACAAGAGUUGUACACAUUAACAAGAGUACAAGGGAAAUCAUUUGAGAUCAAAAUACCUGAGAUCGAGAUCCAAUUGCGGUCUAUAUGAAAAGACCGCAUCUGGAAUUGAGAGCUUCUCCAUAAUGAUAUUAAUCAUCCUGAGUUCCCCUCUGAGGGACUCAAGCAGAAUUCUACGUCGUCCCAAUUCCAUAAAGAUUUUACCAUUUUGGGAGUGAGAGCUUCAAGUUUGGAUUCCUGUAUAAAAGUAACCCAUGGAUUAUGAGAGUUCAAAAGUUUCCUGAGAGACCUGCGUUUAAUCCGUGAUCCAACACCUCUAAUGUUCCACGACAAAAUCAUUGGCUUAUGUUUAUUGAGAGAGAGAUGGGAUUGUUAUUGGGCGGAUGAGUCCAAAGCUUGUCGAGUUAAGAUGUCCCUGAUUUUUCCAUGCAGCUCAAACAAGGGCCCAUUGAAUUUCAUGCCCAUUUGGAGGCCCAGUUCAAUAAUUUCAGAGGCUAUUGAAUCAUGAGGUCUCAGUGGAGGGUGAUUGAGGGGGGAGAUGGUUUCAAUCGAAGGUGAUGGGGCGCGAAACUUUCCUUUUUUUCUCUGAGCUUUUUUGAGUUUUUUAUUCUCAUGGUAGGCUUUAAGAGGAGAAGGAAUGAAAUUUUCAAAACCAGGAGGUAUUGAGGGGUCUGAUGUAGAGGAUGAAGAAGAGUGGUUUUUGGAACUGGGCUUUUUCGGGAGUGGGCUGAAUGAUUUGGGUAUGUUGUAGACUGGGUUCAUAUAAGAGGGAUUUUGAGUUGGAUCAUCUAAGUUCUUCAAAAGGCUGAAGCUUAGUUUAUUUUUGCUACUGGGCUUUGAAGGAAAAGGUGAUUUUGGUGGAGAUGAGAUAAUUUUUAAGUUAUCCAGAGAUGGGAGGGUGGGCUCAGAAGGCCCAUUAGAAAAUGUAACUAUAGGUGGAGAGUUAAGAGGGGAUAGUGAGAGGGGGUAUUUUGGAGGUUUUUGAAAUUUCGGCGGGGAGGAGGUCUUAGCUGUUUGUUUUGGUGUUUCCAAUAUUAUGUUUUUAAGGGAAUUUAAUGUAGAGUGAGUUUCAAGGUUCAUUGGGUUCUCAUCCAGUUCAUUCAAUUCAUUCUCUGAUGAUGAGAAAUGAUUGACUAUUGGACUCCCACCUAGCUGUUCAUCUUCCUCAGAGGAAGGGGAAUUAUCUGAUGCAUCUUUGUCCCUGUCAUGGACCAUCUUGGGCUUACUGAUUUCAAUUGGGAUAUUUGAUUUGAGGCACCCAUGCGAAGUGCAUUCCUCAGUGACAAAUACCUUAAACUUCCUUUCUUCUAAGGUAAAUAUAAGAGGAUUAUUAAUUUGGAAGAAACAGUCUGUGAAGAUCAAAAUUCUUGCAUAAUCCAUCCUCGAGUACUCAACUGAAAGCACUCUGCCAUAUAUAUUCCCAAUUCGAAAAAAGUUUUCGUAGUUCCACGCUGAUAGAGGAACACCAUAGAUAGUAAUCCAGGCCUGUCUCCAUUGAGUCGUGCAGUCACCAUGCACAUUUUGAAUAUUUUUGAACCAUCUAAGAAGCCAUUGACUUUCCAUCAUUGCUUCUUUGUCUUCUAUUGAGUCGAAGGUAAUCAAGUGAGCCAUACCUCCAAGGGGUUUGACCCGUAGACAAUUCACACCUUCCGCUAGUAUAUGAUCGUGGAUGACUUCUGAUGUAGAAGAGGAAUUAGCAAUCCCAAUGGCACUUCUAUUAAAAAGCUCCUCAUUUUCCAAACUCUGCUUUCCUUUUACUGCUAAUAACUGCUCACCUUCAAAAUCCUCCAAGGUAAUCUGAUUUCUUGUUUUUUCAGUGUCUUCUCCCAGCAGCUUCGAACUUUCUUCCCGUAGUUUGUUUAUCUUUUUUUCAAAGAGUUCAGGUAUCGGCUCAAGGAUUUGGUUAGGUUGGAUAAUGUUAGAGGGUGAAGGUUUAGAGAUUGGAGGUUUUGGGUGAAGUGUAUUUUGGGUGGAGACCUCCUUGUAUGAGCGAUGAUCUCUCAUUGAUGGUUUUAGGUUUGGUUUCGGAUAGGGGAAGGGCUUUGCAUAGGAGGGUUGCUUUUUGGUUCCAAUGUUGGCUGAUGAUUGAUGAGAGGGGGUGUCAAAUUUUGCUGGGUUAACACGAAGCUUGUAAUUUCCAAUUCUUCUGCCAUUUUCAUGGUUAAUGGCACUAAUGAGGGCUUGGGUUGAGUAGAAUUUCACAAAAGCGUAUCUGUGGUUGCAAUUUUUCCUGAUUUUUGAAGGUAUUACCAUGUCUGAGAUUUUCCCAUGUGGUAGGAAAAUGAAUUGAAUUGUUUGGGGAUUAAUCUCCAAUGGAAGGAAAUCAACGAAUAUUGUUCUUUUUGCAGUGGAGGGUUGGGGUUUGGGUAUGUGUUGUUUUCGCCGGAUUGUAUGCCAGUCUCCAUGGUUUCCAUUGGUGUUUCUCUCACUCCCUCUCUCCAUCUUCUUUCUUCCAAUUUUGUUACUUAACAUUCAUACCAAACAAUUAGAAACGAAAACGCUUAUUUGAAUCCAUUUCUUACAUCAAGUUUUUCUUCCAUAUCUCCAUCUCUCAUCAACCUCCACCGUUAACACCAUACUACCGUCACUAACUCCACAUCUACCAACCAACCCCCACUACAUCAUUAGGCAAAGAUACCGUCUUGUCGGAAAAAGACUCCUAAGAUUAGAGCCCAUGGCUAGGACAUCUCCACCAGGGUUGAAACGUCUUUCUCAAAUGUUUGACAAUUCGAUAAAUUUUUUUUAAAAAAAGAUGGUUGGCCUUUGUCGUCCAUGUAUUACCUCCCAACUUCUCAGUCACCAAAUUCUAACAAGGUUGGAUAACUUUGGGAAGACAAGCAGACUAAAGAGAGUUAGAAGAGUGAGGACGAGACGAUUUCGUCCAAGUUAGGUUAGUGGUUAGAAAUCAGUGGCGGAUCUUGAAAGAUCUACUACAGGGGGCAGAUUUUUCCACAAUAACAUAUUAUGAUGUCGUGUAACUUGUUUUUGUAUGUUGGGUUUUGGGCUCUGAAUUACGAGGCUUAAUUUUUUAAAAAAAAUAACCUACGGGGGGCCAGGCCCAUGCCUGCCCCAAUGAAGUUCCGCCACUGGUUUGAACAAUGUCUAGCUUACCACUAAAUAAAACCUUUAAAUAUUGUGAGUUGUGAUCUUGAUAGACAUGAUGAUUGCCUUGUACAUUUUAUGUGUUGAUUCUUAUCGAAACUUAUUUUUAAAUGUCGUGUUAAACCUGAUUAGACUUGAUCUGAACUUAUUCGACCUGAAACUUUUUUUUAAGGUGAAAAGUUAGAAUACUUUGUUCUCAUUCAUAUUCAUAGGAAUUACGUAACAAAAUUUGAGGAAGUAUGUUCAUUGGAAGUUCCAGAUCGGCUAUAUUCUUGUGCUUCUAAUUAAUAAGUUACAUCCUUUAAUCUUUCUUUGCUUUUAAGUUUUAUACUAUAAAGUGAAAGUAAAAGAAUGAUAGGAGUAUAUAAAGGAAAUGUGGAGUGAAACUUAAGUUUAAGUUAAUUUUGAGGUCUACUUAAAGUGACUUCAUGAUGCUCGAGUGCAAUCUUUUUCAAGGUAAACAACCAAAAAAUAGAAAAAAAAGAAAGAAUUAAAAAGCUAAGAGAACUUAAUUAUCCAUCUUGCUGAAUUACUUGAAGAAAUCCAUAUGAUAUCACUCAACAGCUUCAUACAUUGCGAAAACAAAAACACAUACUUUUCACACUACAUUGAAGAUUAAACAAGGUAAAUAACUAAAUGUUUACAUGACAAUUGAAUUAAUCAAUCAUACUAGAAAUUUAAGAAAUUGAGCUAUCUUCAUCACCAAGCUGAACGUAUUGAAGGGGUCCUUUCAACAUUUUACCUGCUUUAAAACAAAAAAUUUCAUCUAGUUAGAUUAACGCUAUGUUCUUUUAAAUUGAAUUAAGUUAGCCACCCCUAAACAAAAAUCACUACAGUUUCGUUUAUUAUAAUUUUUUUUUUCCCUAAAAUGGAUAAACUUCGCGCAUGCUAACUUAACUUUACCAAUCAAUUUAACUUGACAAGUAUAAUGAAUCACCAAGAUUAGAAAAAUACAUUUUUUCCUACUAAUAUUACAUAAAAAUACCAGUUAAAAUAGGUGGCAUCUAUAAAAAGAUUAUACUACUACAAUAACUACAUGGGUAGUAAUUAUUCUAUGUAAAGUUGUAUUACGUAUGGGUAGUACUUGGUCUGGUGGUAAGGAGAGCACCCUUCCAACUUCAAGGUUGGGUUUUCAAUCCCCACUAGAGGCACUUUAAAGGUAGGGAUUCCCCUUAUCCUUCCCCCUCACUCUAAAGUGCAUGACCCAUUAAGACUAGAACGGGGUUCAGGCCACUUCUUCUUACCGAAAAAAAAAACCGACAACUCGAUAGAAAAAUAUUUUAAAGAUUUUGCAUGAUAUCCAACGUAUUUAGUGUCGUAUUGGGCCAAAUUGAUAGUGUCUUAUUUUCUUCUGAAUGUUGGUAGUUAGAGAGAAUACUCAUGGAUAAGUGAUGAAUCAAAUAUUUAUAAAACAACACUUAAUGAAUAGAAAAAAAAUAAUAAUAGUGACUCUAUUAUGAACAAAGAUCCUUAAUUCUAUCAUUUAUUUCAUACAGUUGCACUCUAUACAAGUAUAGAGUAUAAAGUGAUGUUAAUGCACCUUAUUCUCUUUAAUAAUUGUCUUUUUUGAACUAUGUAUCUUAGAUAUUUUUUAUUUAUUUAUUUAUUAUUAUUAUUAUUAUUAUUAUUAUAUUUAAUUCAACAUAUAUACUCCUCUUUCUAGUUCUAGGUGAUGAGCCCACAUAGUUAACGUGUUAUGCUUUUCUUUAUCUUAUUGAAAGCCGUGAUUUAGAAAACAAUAUCUAAUACACACGUAGUUAAUAGUAAGAUUAGGUUCAUGAAAUGUCGGUUUAUUGGCAGUAAUCUUGAAUUAUGAUGAUAAAUUGAUAACAUACGGUUUUUAGAUGAAACAACUUAACUUAUCUCCCAUAAACUCGGUAGUUAUCAGUAUGCUACUAUAUUUUCUUAAGAAAAAUAUAAACUUUACUAUUUCGAGUAUCAGACAAAUAUAUAAAUUCAAUUCAAAUAAUUGUAAUAUAGACUUACAAAUACGGUAGAUGAUCACUUGGUAAUAACCCAUAUCGCAUAGAUUAUUCCAGGAAGAUAUCCCAAUAACGUCAACACCAAACAGAUCCAAAACUCAACCUGUAAAUCCGAAUUUAUAAAUUAAAUCAUGUAAGAAAAACUUCAAAUAUUCAUAAUCAACAACCCCUUAAAUACCUUAAUCGAAAUAAUCAAAUUAUUGAUUGUCUUCGUAAGUACUCCAAUAAUUUACUUCCUGAUAUUUUAAUUACUAAAUAACUAUGUUUGUUUAGUAAAGUAAAAAAAAAACUUUUUUUCAAAAAUCAUAAAGAAAUUAUUUAGACCAUAUAGUUGUAGUUUAACCAUACUUUUUGAGUAAGAAAUACGUUUUUUUUAAAUCCUUUUUCUUAAGAAUUAUAAGUACCAUAUUACAAUGAAAUUUAUACUGUAAUGAUCAAAUUUUCUUGAUAUAUAAACAUAUUUAAACUUACGUUAUCUAACUUAAAUUAAGUACUCCUUAAUAUUAUAGUAAAAAUAAGGUGAAGUGAACAUAUGGUAUCGUAGGCGAAAUUUAGUGAUGUAUACCUUGCAGCCAUAUUUCAAGAAAACACCAAGAGGAGGCAAAAUGAUGGCUAGAAUGAUAUCUAUGAAAGUUGCUGUCGACAUUUUUGUUUUUGUGUUUCUCUCUUUGAUUAACAAGAUUAUGGAUGCAGGAGAUGAUUAAGAAAGAGGGUUUUU